rnacentral:precursor_RNA from 1 species
UCCCUGGCCAGCGUCUGCAUCGCAGCAGCUCCUCCUGCAGGCAGAUGUCUGCGGGGAGG